AUUUAAGAGCUGAUCACCAGUGGAGAAGGAUCUCUUCUGGUGAUCUGCUCCACUGGAGUCUAUCAUGCAAGCCCAGGAUAGGGAAAAUUGUUGGGUAGCUUAUCUGCAGUGUCUGGUUGUACUUGAAAUGGUUCAAGCGUAUCCUGAGUCCUACAGAAACUGAUGGAAGAUCCAGUGUUGAAUGAAGCUAGCAGUCCUAGCUGUCUCAGGGAGUGCUUUGGAGAGAGCAAGAGAUACCAUUCUGUUCUGGUGAUUUCCAACUGUGGGAAAGAUCGCCUGAGCUGUUUGCCAGGGUUUCCAUGGUGACAGCUGCACACUACUGGAUGAAAUAUGUGCUGUACCUAAUUUUCAUCCUGAAGCAUAAAAAUACCAGUGAGUAUUGGAAUUUUCUGGCAAGUUCCCUGUAACGAAAGCUUAAUUCCACUGAAGAUUAUGACAAUACUCCUGUUAACAUAAUUAGGACAAGAUUUCGUCUUAUCCGCUCCUUGUAGCUGCAACACAUCUCUUUCAAGAAGAUAGCAGGAACUCAUCAGACCUUCCUGUCAAUGCCUUCUUGGGCACUCUGGACACAUUGUCACAAUAUGAAAGAACAAUGUAUUUUCCAGUACUCUUCAGACUGAGAUGGACUGCCUGAACUGGGCUUUGGUGGAAGCGCUUCAGGAGUCAUAGUACGAAAAGCAGGGAAGAUGCUCUGUGCUUUGUCCUCCAGUGUGCUCACCUACCACUUCCCAAACACCUUUGGUUCUCCUAGAGAGUGCAUACCUUCAUGGUAUUAUACCAUGCCUUUCCUCUGGAGAUCUGAGGUACAUGGGAUGAGAAAUCCUGUAUAGGAAAUUGCUUAAAUGCAGCAGCUGUGAAGUGUUGGAAAGGAGAAGAGACAGUGUUUGCACUGGAUUUGCCUGACUGCCAGUAUAAAAAGUGGUAAGGAGAGAAAUCGUGUGCUGAAUGCUGUUUAUGUAUUCUGCAAAAUGAAGACCUCCAGUACUUGACAAAUAUUUGAUGUAAAUAUGAAUAUAUUUCAACAUCUAUGUUUUUAUCACCAAGAGAUGGGCUGAUUUUCUUUCAUUUUGGUGUUUUUGACAAAUCUUGUUCCCUAGAUUUUACCUCCUGUCAUGUGUGCUGUAGCUUAAGUUAAGGCUUCAAAGGUACACUUAGGAUCUUAUUAUGUACAUGCCUAAAAUAAGCCAGUUGCUCAUCCAAGAGGACUAGUAUAGUUUAAUACGUGCUAAAGUGACAAAGUAAUCUGAGUCUUAUAGUUAUUGUUGAAUUUUCAUGUUUGUUGCUCAAUAGAAAAGCUCUUAAUCUAAGCGAGGACAACGUGUUUUGAACAGGUUUGUAUCGAAGUGUUGAAGAUAACAAGCUUACUAAUCAGGAUAAACUUUUCUUUAGUUCUUUAACUUUUGUAAAAUCAUGUUCCUCUUUAAAGAAGUUACAUUUACCACUAAACACACAUUGGCUUCUGAUAUCAGGUUAUCAGUGGCACAAAGCAGCAGACAGCAACUGGACUAGGAGAGUAGGGUUUGUUGGAGGUGACCAAGCACCAGAACCCUGCUUUCUAUAUCAAAUAAUCAGGACCUAAUAGUGAGAGGUGAAAUACCUAAAGAUGUAUCUCCUGCAUGUAGUAAAUAAGUGCUGUUUAUUCAAUUGGUUCAUGCAGUGUGGUUAUACAAAUGCACCAAAGAGCUCUUCUUAUGUAGAGGCUUGACAUUCUGGGAAGAGAGAAGCUCUUCUGUUAUGGCACACUUGUCUUUCUAUCUCUCUGUUGUGACUUCUGACAGACAGACAUGAGACCAGGGAAUAUUGCCAAAGGAGUAUAGCAGCUAGUCAUGUGUCUGGGGUCAAGAGGUAGAGAUAAGGAGUUGGUGAAGAUUGCAGUGUCUCUACUUGUCCCACAUGUCAGGAAAUAGAUUCCUGGGUCUGACCUUGAAUGGUUGGAAAGAGGAAGAGGAGGCAGUGCCAAUGAAUUCAGCUGCCUAUAAAGACAACAGGAAUUGUCAGAGGUUGUCCUGAACAGCCACUUGUACUGACCCAGAGCAAAACAUCUGGCACAGCCCAGCUUGGAAGGUGUAUUGAGCUGUCCUGUUUUUGAGGAUACUUGCCUGAUCAAAAUAGCUGGGGGCUCUGGCUGACAGUAAGUUGAAUGUGAGCCAGCAGUGUGCCCUGGCACCAGGAGGGCCAACCACACCAUGGGGGCACCAGGCCCAGUGCUGCCAUCGGGUGAGGGGAGGGGCUGUACCCUCUGCUCUGCGCAGCCUCACCUCCUGCACUGGGUGCAGUCUGGGUGCCACAGUGUAAGGAGGACAUAAAACUCUUAGAGAGUGGUCAGAGGAGAACUGUGGAGAUGGUGAAGGUCCUGGUGGACAAGGUGUGUGAGGAGUGCAGAGGCGCUUGGGAUUGCUCAGUGCAGAGCAGAGGAGCUGAGGGGAGGCCUCAUGGCAACUGCAGCUUCUCACAGGGAGCGGAGGGCAGCGCUGAGCUCUGCUCUCUGGGGAUGGCAACAAACGGUAAGGAGCUGUGUUAGGGAAGGACCAGGGGGUUUAGGGAAAGGGUCUGCCCCAGAGGGCAGCAGGCAUAACGCCGGUGCAUGAGCUUAGGGAGCAUUUGGACACUGCUCUCAGACAUCGGAUUUGGGGUGGUGCUGUG